UCUGACCUUUUGGUGGUCAGGCAUGAUGGAAAGGAGCUGCUGCUACAGCUUGGGAGAUUGGCUGUGGAGAGCCUGCCGAUCAGCUCUGCCCUUCUAACCGCCAGAUCCGCGUGUGGCUGGUCACCUGACGGGGCAGUUUGCAAUCGCCAAGCAUCGUUCUCUUUCCUGUUCUGGGAUUUUGUCGCGGAGCUCUUUCCCCUAGCCACCACCGUUCAUUUCUGAGGGAUGGAACAAAAAUGCAGCAUGGCCUUUCUGUGUGGUGCAUGUCCAGUCUUUGACGCAUUUUUAUCAAGUGAAGCUGUUUUAUUUAAAUGGAGAACGAGAGGUGAGGACGAGAUCCGUGUUGGUGUAGAGGAAAAGGGGAUGCUGCAUCUUUUUCCUGACCUACUGGGUUUCUGGCCUUUGUUUCCUUGCUCACUGAGGGUGUCUGCCUAACCGCGCAGGCUGGGACGUGCUGGCACACAUUGCCUUCUUUUCUCACUGGGUCCAGCAAUGAAGACAAGUGUUGGGGAUUUUUUUUUUUUCCUCCACAAUGUAGCACAUUCUCAGGAAAAUACAGUUGAUAUCUUCCUCCUAAGCUCUUCCAGUCAUCAAGUACUUAUGUGGCUACUUGGUCCAGGGCACAAAUGCCAUGGCGGUAUCUAUCUAAUUAAAAGCCUACAAAACUGCUUGAUAACGGUUUUGAAUGUGAGACAUUUAUGUAAUUUAAAUGUAAGGUACAAGUUUUAAUUUCUGAGUUUCUUCUAUUAUAUUUUUAUUAAAAAGAAAAUAAUUUUCAGAUUUAAUUGAAUCGGAAUAAAAUAAUACUUCCCGCCAGAAUUAUAUUCCUGGAAAAUUGUAUUUUUGUUAUAGAAACAACUUUUAAAGAAAGAUCGUUAUCCUUUUCUCUACCUAAAUAUGGGGAGUCUUAGCGUAAUGACAGAUAUUUAUAAUUUUUAAAUUAAUGGUACUUGCUGGAUCCACACUAACAUCUUUGCUAAUAUCUCAUGUUUUCCUCCAACUUAUGCCUACACUACAUCCUCCGUCCUCUUUCCAGUCUUUAUCUGGAAUAUGCAACCGAGAAUAAAAAUGGUGGUGUCUCCAUUCAUUCUCCUUCUUCCUUUUUUCCCAAGCCUGGUCUUCAAAAGGUCGGGUAAUUUGGCAGCUGAGUUCUUAGUAGAGAAUAGAGCAAUUUUAGGUGUAUUGGGACUGAGGGGAGGAUGCAUGAGGCCUAACAGCAGUUGUUAUUAUAGAAAGGGCUGCUGUAGUACCAAGAACCUCAUCCUUUGUCUUUGCAUAAGUGGAAAAUAUAAUCUACUCGUAGCUUCCUUUGGCCUUUACUAAACGGUGGUAUAAUUGCAGUAGUAACAAAGAAAGUAACUCUGGAUAUAUUUAUUAAUGGCAAAUUAAUGACAAAUCCAGCGUAGAAUCUCUUGUCAGCAUUCAGGAAUGUAAAUCAAAUCAGACAUACUUAGCACAACCAAGCUAUGAAGCCAAGGACCUUAUGGAAAUUAGGACCUCUGAAAUAAAUCAGGGAAUUAGAAAUUGGUAUUUAAACAUUUCAAAUUGUAACUCACUCCACUAUCUAUCUUUCAGCCUGUUAAGCUCACUGCCAUUCGAUGUUUUUUGCUAAAAUACCUGUAUUCAGGGGAAGGCCUACUGAAAACUCCACAGACUGGUAGAAGGUUGUCCUAGUAAAAUGGGAAGUAUCCUGGAGUUAUUGAUGAGUUUGAAAAGCAACGUGUUUAUCUUAAGUCCUACAUGAGCAGAGCAAUAUCUUACAGAAUUCAGAAAUGGCAAAGAUUCUUGUUGAUCUGAACAGCAUCUUGUGUACAUAAUUUUGCUUCUCUUCUAAAAGCAUUGUUUAUUUUUCUUUUUAAAUACGUCCCCAUCCAUGCUCUUAAGCUGGUUGGUGUGUUCCCUUUGCCAAGAUUGGAGAGAGCUGGGCUGGAAAAGUAGGCCUGUCCUGCUGAGCAGGUAGAGCCCGCCGGAGGAGGCCUGGCCGCAUGACUCUCCGGUGGCGGGAGCCAGCACAGCACUAGUGAUGGAGGAAGCUUAGCAUUGGAAUCUUCAAAAUAAAAUUCAAGGUGAUACACGUUUUUCUUUCCAUCCUAUUUAGAGUAGGUUGCUGUCUCACUUGAAAAGAGGAAACAGACUUGAUCUCAGAUGAAGCUGUGCCCAGAAGCCAGGCUCAGGGUGUUCUUGGGAGAUUUUUAUAGCGCCCUUAAAAAGUAAAAAUGAAAUUUUAAUAUUUCUGUUCCCUUUUUUCCAUCUCUAGUUUACAAAUGACAUGAUAAAGGGGUUUCCUCUUACUUUUUGAUGCUUAGACUACAGAUAGACUUGUUGAGCUCCUAAGAAGAUACAAGGAAGAACUCCUUGUUUGUGCAAAGCACUUUAUGAAUAAUUUUGUACAGAUAGUGUGUGGCUGCUUCACUGACUGUCUUGUAAGGUUGUAGUUAACCUGUCUUUUCUGUAAAGUGGCUGCGGUGCCUUCUAUAGUGUAUUUUAUUUUGGGUAAGGAAAGGUGAAGCCUUCUGAAAAAUUUGAGAGCAAACAUAAAAGAUUGUUUCAAAAUAUGUAGUAUUCUUGAUGGACUUUUUUGUCAUCAAACUGGAGUGUAGAGUUUAGACUUUUGCCACUGAAAUAACAUUGACCAAAAAACUUAGAAAAGGGAUUUGUGAAUAGAAAAUCCAGUGUGACCAUUCGUAUUUAUAUGCACCUUAAAAGAAGAUUCUGUCCAGCUGUCAAAUUCUGGUUCCUGAACAUCCAGUCCCUGAUUGCACUUACGAUCUUGUAGGAUGUACUGGAGCGUCCUAGAAGAUAAAACGCCAUGUAAAGCAUGUAUGUUACAUUUAUGUUGGUGUUGGAAGAGAAAGAGCAUAUUACAUAGUUCUAAAGAGGUAAUCAAGGCUUCAACACUGUCAACCAGAAACUCUGUAAAUAUUUCCUAGAUUCUCCUUUGGUGCAGUCCCAGCUGUCUUAGCACACGAUGUUCUCUUUGAGUCACCAGGCAGUGCUGGGGCUGCUGGAUCCCCUCCCAGGCCCCCACUGCCCCUCCUCUGCACUCACUCCCCAGCCUUGUGUGGACCCCGUCUAGCUUUAGUUUGAAGCACAUUGCAGGGUUCAGGUGACCUCUUCAAAAAACUACCUCCUUAGAAUGAGGUAAUGAAUAGUUAUUUAUUUUAAAAUAUGAAAAGUCGGGAGCUCUAGAACAUGAAGAUGAUUUAAGAUUUUAACUUUUAUGUGUACUUGUAUUUGAGCACUCUCAUUUUGUCCUAAAGGGCAUUAUGCAUUUCAGCAGUAAUACUGAAAAAUGUAGCUCAGAGUUUCUGAUUAUUAUUGCAGGUGGUGCCAGAAUCCGUUCAGGGGUGCGCUUCAGAAUCUUAACCUUAAGUCAGUUGCAUGAAAUUAGAUAGUUACGGUAACGGUUCACUAACAGUGAUACACUUAAUUUUCAGUAGGCUUGGCAAGACAGUACAUCUUCAUAAAGAGUUAGCCGCAGCUUCAUCACAUGCACAGAUCCUCCUGUAGAGAGACUGCCCAGCGAAGAGGGUGGAAUGAUGCCCCCUGAUCCUCUUCUUUGUCUGAGUUGGCAUCGUUAGCACUAGAAUAUCAGCACCUUGGGACUAGCAGAUUCCCACCAUUAAGGCUAUUUAAAAAAACAAAAACAAAAACAACAGUAACCAGACAUGGAAAGUUUACUGUGAGUAUGACAGCAGAUAGCUUAGGGGUCAUACACUGAAACGGUGUAGAUGAGGCUCUAGAAAAAUACCUUGACAAUUUGCCAAAUGAUCUUUACUGUGCCUUCACGAUGCAAUAAAAAAAGCUAAAAUUUUAGCAGAAAUCAGUGAUAUGUGAAGAGAGCAGCCACUCUGGUCUAACUCAGCUGUGUUAAUAUUUUGUAGAGCGCAAUGUAGACCGCAAAGAUCAGUGCACUCGCGGGUUUAUAGCCGAAAUCACAUUUAAAAAAUGAGAAAACACACAGGUAAAUUUUCGGUGAAUAAAAUUAUUUUUUUAAAGCACGUAAUCCCUAGUAGAGUCAGAUAUAUUUAUCACAUAGAGCAAAUAGGUUGAAAAUUAUAGUUCAGUGACAUUUCUAGAGAAACUUUUUCUACUCCAAUAGGUUCUUCAAAGCAUGGAACUUUUAUAUAACAGAAACGUUUGACAGACAUUUUAAGGAGUUGCUGUCGUUUGGGGUUGGAAAUAAUAUAUGCUGGGCAGCAGUCCCUUCUCAAGAGUGAGAGGGAGGAUGCUAGUAACAUAGAGGACGGAAUUUGAUUUUAUCACUUUCCAGAGUACUGCCAACCUGAACAGGGAUUUUCCAGAGUUUAAAAUGUAAACUGGCCUCCCAGGACUUGUUUGCAAAUUAAGUGGGGCUGUCCUGGUCAUGCUGUUCGGGGUGCCACGGGGGGCCCCUCUAGGAGGGGGCAUUACCAGUUGGGGACGUGGCCGAUGGCUGUGAACUGGACACACUCCGUGGUGUGCAUUUUGUGUCUUGUUUUCAUUUCUUGCCACCCCCAGGAAAGGCACUGUACUGUCUCCAGCAGGUUCUCUAGAUGUUUUACUAGGUUGUAAAUGCCCAUAGGCUGUUGUACUCUGGUACGUAUGUACUAUGAUGCCCAUGGGCUGUUGAGCCCCAAGGAGUGCAGUAGGAUCUCUGCCUGAUGUGUACAUUGACCAGAGGAGAGGGAGGCAGCCAGUGUAUUGCUAGCUCUGAUAAAAUUGAAAAUACUGGGAAGAUUUUGUUUAAUCAGCACACUAGAGAGUAAGCUUUGUUUUGUUGUUUUCAGAUAACUUAUUUUCACUUCUGUUUGGGUAAAGAUAUUGAAAUUGAAAUUGACUCCUAAAUUUUGCCAGUGGCGGAAAGGGUAAUUGAUGGUUUCUAUCAGGAUUUUUAAGGUAGAGGAGGACAGAAACGUUAAGUCCCACAAUCUUAAAGUACGGCAGCAGUGCUUUAUUUUAACACGCAUCGGGAUUGUUCGUCCUCACCUCAAAAAAGUGAUUAGGUAGAUCUUUAAUUUCAGCAUCCACAACUUCAGCUGUUAAUUUUUUAAUCCUUUUUUAUUUAAUUUUUUUAUCCUUUGACCCCUUCUACCCAACUGUUCAUUUAGUUUUAUUAAUUAGUAAAUUAGUUUUAUUAAAAUGUUUAAUUUUAUUAAAAUGUAUAAUUCUAUUUAACAGAAUUCUGUUCUAAUUGUAGUGCAUGGGGACACAGCCAGUGUAUCCGUGUGUGUGUGUGUGUGUGUGUGUGUGUGAUGGGUUUGUGUUUUAAGGGUUCUGUAGAUCGAAGUACUCUUGGAAAGCAGCCGAAAUGUUUGUUCGUGUUAGUCCCGAACACAGGACUUGGGCAUCUGCCGCUCUGCCAGGCUGGGCACGUGGCCCGCCACGAGCAGCCAGCUGUCAUCAGUCUGGGGAACUGGGCGGCGGAUUCACCGGAGAGACGCGGCAGAGGGCUUCUGCUUACAGGGGCCAAGAUGGGGUUAAAAGUUGCUUUGGUACCAGUUUUGUGUUGAAGAUGAUUCUGUGUUGCGUUUGUGUGUCAAGCCUUUUUUAACCCACUUGGAGUUUGGUGGAAGAAACUUGAGACUAGCAUAAGCAGCAAAGCUCACGGAGUAGGCACAGAUGUAGAGAACAUGGACCAAAAUGGGAGGUGGGAGGGUCCUGUAAGGAAAGAGUG